CUUGCUCCGUGUUAAAUUUUUCACCAACAUGCGAUAUUUAAAUGGCGGUUUCACCCACGAAAAAGGUUAGGUGUCCGCAGCGCUUUCGAUCAGUAACCGCUUGGGCAACCGUGUCUUCUCCUGCGGGCCAUCAGUUCAUCCUUUCACGGGGUACGUAGAGCAUCAAUAUAAUACGUAAUACAUGUGAUGAUACAUCAAAACCUAUCAUGCAAGCAUUUGUAUCAAAAAAAAUAAAUAAAAAAUAACGAUGAUGAUGAUCAUCGUAAUAAACAAAUAGAAAACACUGGGGAAGGGCUCUAAACCCAAUAAAUAAAAUACGUAUCGGAGAAACAGGACACUUGAAACCCAUUAGCUGAGCA
rnacentral:lncRNA from 1 species